UACGUAGGGGGCGAGCGUUACCCGGAUUUACUGGGCGUAAAGCGCGUGUAGGCGGCUGGUCAAGCGUGGUGUGAAAUCUCCGGGCUCAACCCGGAAACUGCAUUGCGAACUGACCUAGCUGGAGUGCAGGAGAGGGCAGCGGAAUUCCCGGUGUAGCGGUGAAAUGCGUAGAUAUCGGGAAGAACACCAGUGGCGAAGGCGGCUUUCUGGUCUGUAACUGACGCUGAGGCGCGAAAGCGUGGGGAGCAAACAGG
rnacentral:rRNA from 1 species